GGAUUGUGGCUCUGUGGUAGAGCACUCGCCUAGCAUGUGGGAGACCCUGGGUUCAACCCUCAGCACCA
rnacentral:tRNA from 1 species